UAGGGAAUCUUCCGCAAUGGGCGAAAGCCUGACGGAGCAACGCCGCGUGAGUGAUGAAGGUCUUCGGAUCGUAAAACUCUGUUAUUAGGGAAGAACAAAUGUGUAAGUAACUAUGCACGUCUUGACGGUACCUAAUCAGAAAGCCACGGCUAACUACGUGCCAGCAGCCGCGGUAAUACGUAGGUGGCAAGCGUUAUCCGGAAUUAUUGGGCGUAAAGCGCGCGUAGGCGGUUUUUUAAGUCGGAUGUGAAAGCCCACGGCUCAACCGUGGAGGGUCAUUGGAAACUGGAAAACUUGAGUGCAGAAGAGGAAGGUGGAAUUCCAUGUGUAGCGGUGAAAUGCGCAGAGAUAUGGAGGAACACCAGUGGCGAAGGCGACUUUCUGGUCUGUAACUGACGCUGAUGUGCGAAAGCAUGGGGAUCAAACAGG
rnacentral:rRNA from 1 species